GUGCUCGCUUCAGCAGCACAUAUACUAAAAUUGGAACAGCACGGAGAUUAGUACGGCUCCUGUACAAGGAUGGCAUGCAGACUUGUAAAGCAUUCCGUAUUUU
rnacentral:snRNA from 1 species